UAGGGAAUCUUCCGCAAUGGGCGAAAGCUUGACGGAGCAACGCCGCGUGAGUGAUGAAGGUCUUCGGAUCGUAAAACUCUGUUAUUAGGGAAGAACAAAUGUGUAAGUAACUAUGCACGUCUUGACGGUACCUAAUCAGAAAGCCACGGCUAACUACGUGCCAGCAGCCGCGGUAAUACGUAGGUGGCAAGCGUUAUCCGGAAUUAUUGGGCGUAAAGCGCGCGUAGGCGGUUUUUUAAGUCUGAUGUGAAAGCCCACGGCUCAACCGUGGAGGGUCAUUGGAAACUGGAAAGCUUGAGUGCAGAAGAGGAAAGUGGAAUUCCAUGUGUAGCGGUGAAAUGCGCAGAGAUAUGGAGGAACACCAGUGGCGAAGGCGACUUUCUGGUCUGUAACUGACGCUGAUGUGCGAAAGCGUGGGGAUCAAACAGG
rnacentral:rRNA from 1 species